rnacentral:rRNA from 1 species
ACGAGUUUGAUCAUGGCUCAGAUUGAACGUUGGCGGCAGGCCUAAUACAUGCAAGUCGAACGGCAGCACAGAGAGCUUGCUCGUUGGGUGGCGAGUGGCGGACGGGUGAGUAACGCGUAGGAAUCUACCCAGUAGGCGGGGAUAGCCCGGGGAAACUCGGAUUAAUACCGCAUACCGCCCCGACGGGGGAAAGGCCGGGAUCUUCGGACCGGUCACUAUUGGAGGAGCCUGCGUUGGAUUAGCUUGUUGGUGGGGUAAAGGCCUACCAAGGCUACGAUCCAUAGCUGGUCUGAGAGGACGAUCAGCCACACUGGAACUGAGACACGGUCCAGACUCCUACGGGAGGCAGCAGUAGGGAAUAUUGUACAAUGGGCGAAAGCCUGAUCCAGCCAUGCCGCGUGAUAGAUGAAGGCCCUCUGGGUUGUAAAUAUCUUUUAUCUGGGAAGAAACUCCUCUAUUCUUAGAGGCCUGACGGUACCAGAGGAAUAAGCACCGGCUAACUCCGUG